UACGUAGGGGGCAAGCGUUGUCCGGAAUCAUUGGGCGUAAAGAGCGCGUAGGCGGCCCUGUAAGUCCGCUGUGAAAGUCAAGGGCUCAACCCUUGAAUGCCGGUGGAUACUGCAGGGCUAGAGUCCGGAAGAGGCGAGUGGAAUUCCACGUGUAGCGGUGAAAUGCGUAGAGAUGUGGAGGAACACCAGUGGCGAAGGCGACUCUUUGGCCUGUAACUGACGCUGAGGCGCGAAAGCGUGGGGAGCAAACAGG
rnacentral:rRNA from 1 species